AUUAUAAAGUCGUAGACUAUCAAUAAUUCCGCUGUAGCACACAUGCUAAAUGUCCGAUCAUCAUCAAUUUGAUCUUACAAUAUUCCGGGUUUAAACCAUGGCAGUGGAAAUAUAUGUUUUAG
rnacentral:sRNA from 1 species